rnacentral:rRNA from 1 species
GACGAACCGUGCGAACGUUGUUCGGAUUCACUGGGCUUAAAGGGCGCGUAGGCGGCUUGCCAAGUCAGGGGUGAAAUCUUUCGGCUCAACCGGAAAACAGCCCCUGAUACUGGCGGGCUGGAGGGAGGUAGGGGCGGAUGGAACUUCCGGUGGAGCGGUGAAAUGCGUAGAUAUCGGAAGGAACGCCGGUGGCGAAAGCGAUCCGCUGGACCUCUUCUGACGCUGAGGCGCGAAAGCUAGGGGAGCAAACGGG